UGUCCUUUCCGACGUAAACAAGGGAACUAAAUCAACUCAUGUACAAGUAUUGGGAGUAGCUUAAUACAAUAAAUCUACGAAAAGGUCUUCCUGUUUCUACGGUGACAAAGCGAGAAAUUCGAUAACGUUUCACUCCGUAACGAGAGAGAAGGGACACAGUACUAUGAUGCAUCGAUUCUCGAAAUCUACGAAGAGACGGCUCGGAUUACACAACACGACUGAAACUGAAUUGUACAGAUUGAAAACUCAUUCCGUUGAAAGGAAUCGUCUAAAGCUGGAAUUUGAGGUUAGAGUGCACGUACGCAGAAAAUAAAAUAAGGUUAUGAUAAUUAUUGUAAU